AGUUCAUUUGUAGAAUUAUUGUGAUAUGUUGUCAUCAAGUUCACUGUCAAGAACUUUGUCAUUUAUCUUACAUCCUCGUAAAAUCAAUGCAAUUAAAUCUAAUCAAUUAAAUAGUGACGCAACAAUAUAUAAUAAUUUGACAUGACCAAUGUCAAUAUCUAGAGAAAUUAGAAUCGACUAAAAAUAAAUAAAAAUGAAAAUAAUUGGAAUAUUAUUGAUGAAGAAAGUUUAUGCCGUUAGACUUACACUUUAUUUAUAAUAUAAAAAAAUCUUAAUUGAAAUAUUAAAUAAUUAAUUAGUCUAAUUCUUGGCUAAACACAAAAUAUAAAGCAUAAAAUAAUCAAAGUUAACAAACUUUUGGUUGAGUCUAAAAUAGAAAUGCUAGAAAGCCUUAGAAAAAUGCCAAAACAAAUGAAACUUAAAGUUUUCAUAAACGACAAAAAUACAAAUUAUCUUAGCUUACUUUUUUAUUUGGUUUGAAAGAUGGAUAUGCGGAUAGACUAUUUUAAUAUAUCCGUCAGGGAGUAUUGUCCCUUAACACUUGCAGCAUAUCUGUAGAGAAUUUUACUGCACCUACGUCAAGGCCGAAGUUUAGGCCCCUGUAUGCUCCAAGUCCUAAAGAUUAUGUUUAAUUUUAACAAAGGGAUAUAGAGACUCGAACCUAAAUUUUGAACGAGAGAUUCAAAGGUCUUACCACUAAACCAACCCCUUGAUAAAUUAUCUUAGCUUACGUCAUAGCAAGGUAGUGACUCUUGUAUGUCCUAUUCUAGUCAGACUAGAAGUGAUUUAGAGAUUGUCUAUUAAAAUUACAUUUUUAUCCUUGACCACUAUUUCAAUCUUUUUUCUUUUUUUUUUUAAAUAGAAAAAGAUAGGUAUCCUUAUAAAAUUAUUGAAUAUUUUACCUACCACACACAUGUAUGGUGUGGAGUCCAGAUCAAUGGGUAGGUGCAAAAUAUUCGACAGUUUAAUAAAAGUUUGUAUCCUGGUUAUUCCAAUUAUUCUAAAAAAGCGUCAACUAUUUGUUUUACAUUAAAAGAUUGAGGUUGCGUUUGGUAGAGUUUUGUAAAUAUGAUUUGAGAGUAUGAGUUGUAUUUUGAAUUUGUGAGUUUUGGAAUUAUGAUUUGAGUGUGGAAAGUUUGUUUGGUGAAAGAGUUUUGAAAAUAAUUUUGAAUUGAAUGGAGAAUUUUUGAUGUGACAUAUGAUAUUUAAUACAAAAAUUUAUAACACAUAACCAAACAUACAACUCAAAAUUUUAUUAAAGUACAUAAAAAAAAAAAACAACGCUGCUACAGACAUCGACGAAGUGAGACGCGAAUGCCUCGAAUUGAGCUGGCAGUUCAAACUCUGGAUUCAUUUCACGCGCCUCACUCAGUGUACAUCUCACGAGCCUUGAAGACUGAAGAGAACAAAUCCGCGUAUCUAGGAGAUAGAGAGACAGACGACCACGACCCAAGGGCUUGACCCCGACGACGACAACGACGACCUGGGUGGCCACCGACGACAAGGAAGACCAUCGUUGAGCAUCAACCACGGUCUAGCAACCUCCAAUUCGUCCAGUUUCUCUGAAAAUUUCAGCCUCCAACGGCCAAGAAGCAACUGAUUCGAGGAUAUUGCAAGUGCAGAACUUGCUCCAACACAUCCAAUCCGGCUUGGACUUGCUCUUAACUUUUUUGUAUUUUACUAUGAGAUUUUGAAAUCUCCUGACCGUGCUUGCAAUCUUGCCAAACAGAGCAACAAAAUGAUGGAAGGGUCAAACAAUCCGAGUGAGGAAGUUCAAGAACCGCAGAGUGGUGAAGUUGAAGAAUCUAAGCAAGGGAUGUGUUUUACCUCAAAGCAACAAGUGUAUGCAUUUUAUGCAAAAUAUGCGAAGCACCUUGGAUCCAAAUGCCCCAUUUUAUUUUUAGUUUUGCAGUAGUAAUUUUAUGACUUUGUUUUGUGAGCUUUGGAUACUUCGGUUUGAUUAUGUAGAAAUGUUAAUGGUUGGAAGGUGACUUAUUAUUCGAA